AUUAGCCAAAGGUAUGCUGUGUUCCUCUUUACAUUCUUUUAACACCCUUGCAAACAGUUCAUCAGGGCCUGGGGAUUUGUUAGGUUUUAGUUUCUUUAUUUGUCUGAGGACCAUGUCACUAGUUACUGCAAUCAUAAUAUGGGCCAGUGGGCCUGCUGCAGUGUUCCUCCUUUUUUAUGUUCUUAUGUACAGUGGACCCCCGCUUUACGAUCAGCUCCCAAUGCGACCAAUUAUGUAAGUGUACUUAGGUAAGUGCGUUUGUACGUGUAUGUUUGGGGGUCUGAAAUGGACUAAUCUAAUUCACAAUAUUCCUUAUGGGAACAAAUUCGUUAGGUAAUGGCACCUGAACAUACUUCUGGAAUGAAAUAAUAUCGUAAGCCGGGGGUCCACUGUAUUAUGGUUCUGGCACUGCACAUAUAAUGUUGAUUUGCCUGACAAUUUUCCUACAUCUCCAAACACACACAUACACAGUUUUAUUUAUAUUGUAUAAAAUAUAAUCAGAUACAGUGUUAAACCUAAGAUGGUCAUACAGUGCUGCAGGGAGUAAUGUGGAAGAGGAAGAAUGUGCAAAGAUGAUGAGGUCAUUACUGAUGACAAAACUUGGAGCUACAGCUACUUCCGAGAAACCAAGCAACAGUCUUCACAGUGAAAAAGUCCCAACUCACUCAGUCGAAAAAAAGGCAUACCAAGUCAGGUGCUUACUCAUUGCUUUUUUGACAAAGUUUAAAUCAUUCGUGAAGAAUUUAUUCCAUCUGUGUAGACAGUUAACCAAAAUUUUUACAUCAAGGUUCUGAGAAGAUAGAGGGAAGACAUAAGAAGGAAACAUCCAGCAUUGUGGGUGUCCAGUGAUUGGUUCAUUCACCAUGACAAUGCCCCUGCUCAUGCAGCAAUGUUUGUCCAGUAUUUCUCUGGUUAAAAACAUGGUGGUUGUCCACCACCCUCCCCACUCCCCAGAUCUAGCCUCCAGUGACUUCUUUCACUUCCCAAAAAUAAAAAUAGCACCCGGGGUGGUGUUUUAUCAAUGUGGAGGAGAUUCAGGCGGACUAGCAGGCUGUGAUACAUGCCAUUAGGAAAAGAAGCAUUCCAGAUAUGUUUGGAGAAGUGACAGAGGUGUUGGUAUCAAUGUAUAGCCUUCCAAGGAGAGUACUUCAAGGGAGACAACUUCAAUUAGGUGAUUAAGUAAGCCUAUGUAUCUUUUUUUGCUGCAGUCUGGUAACUUGUUUCAUAUAUGAACAUGCUUAUUCCCUCUGGUAAGUCAUUUAUAUUAAUUAGAAACCAUAUUGAGACAAGUCCCAGUUCUUGCAGCACCCUCCUGGUGACAUUACUAUGUGUCAUUUAACCUUUUAUACCUGUUAACAUUUGUCUUUCAAAUAAGAAAUCUUUUAUUCACUGUAAUUUGGUUUUUAUUCCUCCUGUAAUUUGUAAUUUUCAGAGUAAUAUUACAAGAGGAGCUAUGUUGAAUUCAUUUUAAAAUAUAAAUACAGUGGAACCUCGGUUAUUGUAUGCCUCAGUUUUUGUAGGAUUCGGUUUUCGUUGAAAUUUUGUCCCAGUUUUCGUACAUCCGCUCAGUUUUCAUAGAGCAGAAAACAGUCCGUAUCAAACGCAUCCACCAGAAUGUCUCCUCGAGAAGGAUUUUGAAGGGAUUGAGGCUGACCCUGAUGACCCUACACCUGUUGUGGAAUCUAUUGUGUCUUGGGGGAAAUCUAUUGGGUUGGAUGUGAGUGGCCAGGAUGUGGAAAAGUUGGUGGACAACCACAGGGAAGAGCUAACCACUGAAGAGCUGCAAUACCUUCAACUGAAACAGCAACAGACUGCAGCUGAGGAAAUUGCUUCAGAGGAGGAGGAAGAGAGGGGAGAAUGUGCCUUCUUCAGUGAUUAAGGACAUGUGUACAAAGGGGAGAAAUAUCGCUCUAACAAAGCUGCUGCAAGCCAUGUCUGCAACAUUCAACGACAAUACCUUUUCCCAUUUUAGUAAAUCUUAAAGAGACACCAGAAACAGACCUCUCUGGACAGAUUUUUUUUGACAGGAGUACAGUGACUCUCAAGCUGGUCCUAGUGCCAGUAAAAGACAAAGAAGGGAAGUAUCCCAGAUAGGGCCUUUAUACCUGAAGUCCUCAUGGACAGGGAUUCCCCUUCCAAAUGAUAACCUCUCGUCGCCUUCUUCCAUAUGCCAACAAGAGUCUUCAAUAAAGGUAAAAGUGAUGUUAAAUGUUCAUUUAUCCAUUUCAUUAGUCAUUUAUAUUUAUUUCUCAUUGUUUUCUGUAUGUAAAACUAUAGUUAUUCUCUAUAAAAUGUAUUUUUUGUUAAUAUUUUUGGGUGUCUGGAGCAGAUUAAUUGGAUUUACAUUAUUUCUUAUGAGAAAUAUUGCUUCAGUUUUCGUACGAUUCAGUUUUCGUCAGACUUUUUAGAUCGGAUUAAUCAUGAAAACCGAGGUUCCACUGUACUAGUCAAAUUCCAAAAUUUGCCAAACUAGAGCCCUGGAGACAGGAAGGGAAGUACUUGCACUGUGAAGGAGGGGGUGAUGUUGCAGCUGGAGGAAAUCUGAAUUGUGAUGUGAGAACACUUCUGGCAAGACAGUGAUUGAAUGAAUGAAUGAUGGUAAUUUUUUUUUCAAACUUUGGUGAGAAUCAAGCCACUGAAAACAUCAAAAGGAUUUUCUCCAAAUAGCUUCAUUUACUCACGUGCUUUUAAAUGGAAUCCAAUUUUGGAUGUUUGGCACAUCCCAAGGCCAAAUGUCUCUUCUUUUUCUUAUCGAUGUCAGUUUUAACCUAAGUAGUGAUAUUUAAAGAGAUAUGGUCUCUGAAACAAAAUAAGCACUAAUUUUAAAUAAAAUUUAUUAUACCAACAGAAUUUAGUCAUUUGUGGUUUAUGAAUUUGCAAGGACCUCUACAAACCUAACCUUUGUGAAUCUGAGGGUUUUUCAGUACUGCAUAUAAUGUAUUUGGUGUAUUUAUAAAAUGUAAUUUUCAGGUGCGAUUACGUGUGUUGCCAGGUUGCAGUGAACAAGUGACAUAUACAUUAUACCCUCUGCUAGCUGGAAAUGUUCACUUACCAAAGUUAACACUCAGUGUAGAAUCCCACUCUCCAGGCCAACCAACUUCCUUAGAUGCUCUAUUAGCUCGCAUUUUACCUACACAUGUUUACAUAAUGCCUCAAGCAAAGGGUAAUGAUCCAGCAGUUGCUUCACUGUCUACUCGUGUUACAACAAUGGUUGUCAGCUAGUUAGUACAUUACAACUUCUUUUUGUGGUAGAAUAAAUAUAUUUAUUUUAUAGUAAGAAGUUCCAUAUUUCCAUUAUUUUCAGAGUGUACAAUAAAUAGUAUACAGUAUUAAUAAAGAUGUAUUUAUUAUUAUUAUAUUUAAGCACUAAGCCCAUGAGAGUCAUACAGCAAUUUAACAAUAAUAACCUAAUUUUGAUAUAAGAAAAUAAAUAUACUGUGUUUAGUAAUAAUUAUAUUAUUAUUAUAAUCAUAAUGAAGUGCUGUAUGACUGACAAGGGUCAUACAGCACCAAUUGUUAAUUAUAGUAACCCUUAAACUGGUAUAGGAUCCAGUGUAGAAACACAGACCUACUACAUAUGUUACUCAGUACAUGCAGUUUGCCUACUUUUUUAAAUACAUGUGAUGCAAACACCUGCAAUCCAUACAUGUCUGUUCUUGCUGAAUGUCCUGUUGGUUGGGAACAGUAGCUCCUCUGAGACCAUAAAAGAAACAGCAAGUACUGAACAGUAUUAUUUGCUAAUAAUGCACAGUUUAAAUAACAAAAAAAAGGCACACUACCGUGACUGGAACGAUACACAAAUAACCCGUCGUCGUAAGCUCCUUUCUUUUAUGUGCGGGUUAUUUGUGUAAUGCACAGUUUAGUUCAAAGUAGAGUAAAAUUUAUAAGCAAUCAAUCCUUUGAUGGCAUGUAAUACAUUAAAGCCUGUUUUAUGUAAUUAUUAUUAUAAAAAAAAGUGCUAAACCUACAAGGGUCAUACAGCACAGCUGCUUUAUGUAAUGCCUUAUCAGAUACCUAUAUAUUUUAGGAAGGCCUUUACUACACAACAUUAUAAUAAUAUUCUUGAGUCAAUACUAUGCCUGGAAAUAGUAUGUAAUCAAAUUUUUAUAAAGGAAGAGAAGGGUAGUUCAAAUUCUUAAUCAAGUCUUCACUAGCAUGAGAGCUACCCUCCUUGAGGAUUGUAUUCAUUCUAUUGAUUUUGUUUAAAUUUAAUUUAAAGAGUUCAUUGUAUGUAUCCUGUUACACACAAAUAAUAAGUGUUAGUGCUAA